rnacentral:lncRNA from 1 species
ACUUUUAAGUUUUAUCAGCUAGUUCAUGCUUGCGUUGAAAGAGUGGUCGUUUGCGCUGGGUCAUCACUGUGUAGUAUUGGGGAUACUUAGGUGAGAAAAAAACUUAACGCUAGAGACGUUCACGCACUAGUGGAGAAGCCAGGAUUGUUGCCCUAGAGUUACAGUAGAUAAAAGUACCUCAGAGAACUGCGGGGGCUCCCAACCUGGACGCUUGCACCGGAGUAUUAAAUCCAGCUAGAGAAUGGCAUGUGCAAAGAUACAGAGCUACAGUCAAAUGGGCAGCUGAAGAUGAUGAUGAUGAUGAUCUUGACACCGAGAAGCAGAAGACCAAUGAAGAUGACCAGACAGCAAAAAAGGAUAAGUUAAAAGAAGGUAAAAGAAGGCCACUCGUACUUGCUGUCUCAGUAUCUAAAGGUGGUCACCUUCCAGUAGAGAGGCCCACCCACUGCAGACCGUGCCACCGAAGGUGACAUGCACUUUCUGCCACCCAUCCAAAACCGUAACGUGAAUCUGCAACAGGAGAGGAAAGAAGAACCAAAACUUCCAAGGCCUUGCAUUUUUUCUUAAAAGCAUUUUUUUUUUUUUUUGGAGAUGGAGUCUCACUCUAUUGCCUGGAGUUGCAGUGAGCCGAGAUCGCACCAUUGCACUCCAGCCUGGGCGACAGAGUGAGACUAUCUGAAAAAAAGCAAAAAUAGGCCAGGCAUGGUGGCUCAUGCCUUGAUCCCAGCACUUUGGUAAGCCUAGGCAGGUGGAUCACUUGAGGUCAGGGGUUCGAGACCAGCUUAGCCAACAUGGUGAAAACCUGUCUCUACUGAAAAUACAAAAAUUAGCCAGGCGUGGUGGUGGGUACCUGUAAUCCCAGCUACGCGGGAGGCUGAGGCAUGAGAAUUGCUUGAACUCAGGAGGCGGAGGUUGCAGUGAGCAGCAGUCAUGCCAUUGCACUCCAGCCUGGUGACAGAGUAAGACUCUGUCUCAAAAAUAAAUAAAUGCAAAAACAACAAAUCUUAUUUUUUCAGCCUGUUCGAUGUAUGUGUGAAACAAUGUUGUCCAACAAUAAACGGGAAUCUUAUUUUUCUGAGGUUUUUUCCCCUAACUUCAUUUCUAGUGAAUUUUCUGAGUUCUAACAAAAAAUGGUAGAGACAGUUGUCAUGAAUUGUACCCCUUUUCUCAUUCUUUCUGCUUUAGGCUUGAACAUGAGGCAUAAAGCUAGACUCAGCUGUUAGGAAAAACUGCCUCAUGCUGGCCCUGACAUCAUUGAGCUAAUAAACAAAUCCCUCUACCUCCAGACUUAUUAUGUGAGGAAACACACACACACACACACACACACACACACACACACACACACGUGUUACUGAAACACCAGGGGUUCCGAUCUAGUUCCUGUUCCUUGCUUCACAAAAAGCCAAUCACUGAGAUGAUUAUUGCCAAAGAAUAAGGCUUUAAUCAGGUGCUGCAGAGAAACAGAUGGGAGAUCAAUCUCAAACUUGGGUCCCUGACUGACUAAAACUAGGUUUAUAUAGCAGGAAAGAAAUGUAAUAAUGUGUUAAAAAAAAAAAAAAAAGGAACUAGGGAGGAAUAAGGAAGCAAUCAUGAUGAAUGAGGGGCUUGGCAUCUCAUUUUCUGGAUGCUGUGAUCCGGUGAGUUUCAGUUCUUUGAUACUUUUUUUGAGAGACCUGAAGGUCAUUUCCUGAGGAAGGAACUCAGAUAAAUAUAACUUUCCAGCUUUAAGACCAGAAGGGUCAAUUUCUAUGUUUGUCCAAAAAAAAACUAAGGUACUAUUGGGUCAGGUUCACACACGCCCACACCACCCUUAGGUGUUUAAGCCACAGUUGGUCAGUUUACCUGUUCUUCCAGCAAAAGCAUUUCUCACUGCUCUUGCCAGGUCCUGUCUAUUUAACCUCCUAGAUGUCUCUCACAUUCAUGCAUUCCUCUUCACCCACCUUUGCCACUCUAGGCAUAAUGACCUGCUUUCAGCCUUUGGUACAUGCCAUGUUCCCUCCUGUCACUGCCCUUUAUACACGCCCUUCCCUCUGUCUGGAAUGUUCUUCCUUCUCCCCUUAGGCUAGUUAGCUCUUCAUCCUUUGGCUUUUAUAGCAAGCACUGCUUCCCCAAGACAGCCUUCCCCAACCUCCCCUUAUCCUACCCUGGGCACCUGUCAGCUGGAUGCAAUUUUAUACUAUGUGUGUGAUUAUCCAAUUAUCUCACUAGUUAUUCACUCCAUGAGGACAGGGACCUUUUCUGUUUUAUUCAUCAUUGUAGCAGCAGCAACCCACAUAGCAGCUGACACAACAGAUACGCUCUAUAUUUGUUGAAUGGCAUGAAUGUCUAAAAUAGGAUUCCAACCCAGUCUCUCCUACCUGAGUCUCUGCUUAUCCUCAGUAGCUGGGACUACAGGCAUGGCAUGUGCCACCAUGCCUCUUCGGUUCACCUUUAAAAAAUAAAAGAAUUGGCCACAUACAAUGGCUCACACCUGUAAUCCCAGCACUUCGGGAGGCCAAGGCAGGUGGAUCACAAGGUUAGGAGUUCGAGACCAGCUUGGCCAACAUGGCAAAAACCCCGUCUCUACUAAAAAUACAAAAAUUAGCCAGACGUGGCAGGCACCUGUAAUCCCAGCUACUUGGGAGGCUGAGGCGGGAGAAUUGCUUGAAACCGGAAGGCAGAGGUUUCAGUGAGCCAAGAUCUUGCCACUGGACUCCAGCCUAGGUGAAAGAGCAAAACUCUGUCUCAAAAAAAAAAAAGAAGAAUGAAAACAAGUCUCUAGGCAAUCAGAACCCAUAGAGCGGCUGCAGUUUGUGAGAUCAUCAAAAUCUGGACACUCCCUUUCAAAGAAACGUGUAGUGGUCAGGAAAGCUUUCCAGUCACCGGCAAUGGCCAGGAACUGGAGUAGAGUGGACUGAUUUCAUAGAAAGAAAAGAGGCCAGGUCACAUGGUUUAUGAAACACUUCAACGAUCUGCUCAGAGUUUUCAGCUUGAAGACCCCUAUGAAACUGACCUUGGCCCUUUUCUGCAAUGAGUAUAUUUGAGACAUGGGG